GCCCUCGUGGUGAAAUGGAUAUCAUAACUGGCUUCGAACCAGUAGGUGGGGGUUCGAUUCCCUCCGAGGGCA
rfam:Candidatus Liptonbacteria bacterium RIFCSPLOWO2_01_FTLL_53_13 rifcsplowo2_01_scaffold_59225, whole genome shotgun sequence.